CCUGCUGAGUCGAUAAUGGGAGGAGAGCAGAGCUGUGAGAAGAAAGCCAAGGAGAGAGAGGACAAGACUGAAAAACACCAAGAGUCUGCCAGUGCUGACACUUCAGGGUCUGAAGACGCCCCAGCCGAGCUGCCCCAGUGCAGGAUGGGAAACAGGCACGUGGACAACAUGUGUUUCAUGAUCUCGUGCACCAACUGGUACUAAACUGGUCCUGGUACAACAGCGUGAUAAUGGAGCAGAAGACGUCAAUGUGGGGAAGGUUCGAAAACCCAUGUGGAGUUCAGGUUGUUGUCCUGUGACCUCCGGGCCGGACGCUGCAUUCAUGUACCCGCUGCUGCUCUGAAGAGGACUUCUUUAGAAACCCCUGUCGUGUUAAUGAAUAGUUAGAGGAUGAGUGGGCCUCUCUUGAUGAUGGCUUCUCUGUAAACUCCCCUGCUUCCUCUUGCAAAGAGGAUGUUCCUGCAUGUGCAGCUCUUGAACUUGUCUACAUGCAUUUGCUUUUUCUGUUAACACACUGAACAGGAUUGACGUGUUAGAAACGCUGCACGUGCACUUAAAGUAACAGCUGUAAAAGUCACAGAUUCCUAUACUGAUUACGACUGUGUCUGAAUUUCUCCUCAUGCUUUCACUAACAUUUGGUCUGUGGCUGAAUUUGAGCCAAAUCUGUUGUUUGAUUUGUGAAUAAAGAUGUUUGUCUUUUUCCCAA